rnacentral:rRNA from 1 species
AGAGUUUGAUCAUGGCUCAGAUUGAACGCUGGCGGCAGGCCUAACACAUGCAAGUCGAGCGGUAACACAGAGAGCUUGCUCUCGGGUGACGAGCGGCGGACGGGUGAGUAAUGUCUGGGAAACUGCCUGAUGGAGGGGGAUAACUACUGGAAACGGUAGCUAAUACCGCAUAACGUCGCAAGACCAAAGUGGGGGACCUUCGGGCCUCAUGCCAUCAGAUGUGCCCAGAUGGGAUUAGCUAGUAGGUGGGGUAACGGCUCACCUAGGCGACGAUCCCUAGCUGGUCUGAGAGGAUGACCAGCCACACUGGAACUGAGACACGGUCCAGACUCCUACGGGAGGCAGCAGUGGGGAAUAUUGCACAAUGGGCGCAAGCCUGAUGCAGCCAUGCCGCGUGUGUGAAGAAGGCCUUCGGGUUGUAAAGCACUUUCAGCGGGGAGGAAGGCGGUGAGGUUAAUAACCUCAUCGAUUGACGUUACCCGCAGAAGAAGCACCGGCUAACUCCGUGCCAGCAGCCGCGGUAAUACGGAGGGUGCAAGCGUUAAUCGGAAUUACUGGGCGUAAAGCGCACGCAGGCGGUCUGUCAAGUCGGAUGUGAAAUCCCCGGGCUCAACCUGGGAACUGCAUUCGAAACUGGCAGGCUAGAGUCUUGUAGAGGGGGGUAGAAUUCCAGGUGUAGCGGUGAAAUGCGUAGAGAUCUGGAGGAAUACCGGUGGCGAAGGCGGCCCCCUGGACAAAGACUGACGCUCAGGUGCGAAAGCGUGGGGAGCAAACAGGAUUAGAUACCCUGGUAGUCCACGCCGUAAACGAUGUCGAUUUGGAGGUUGUGCCCUUGAGGCGUGGCUUCCGGAGCUAACGCGUUAAAUCGACCGCCUGGGGAGUACGGCCGCAAGGUUAAAACUCAAAUGAAUUGACGGGGGCCCGCACAAGCGGUGGAGCAUGUGGUUUAAUUCGAUGCAACGCGAAGAACCUUACCUGGUCUUGACAUCCACAGAACUUUCCAGAGAUGGAUUGGUGCCUUCGGGAACUGUGAGACAGGUGCUGCAUGGCUGUCGUCAGCUCGUGUUGUGAAAUGUUGGGUUAAGUCCCGCAACGAGCGCAACCCUUAUCCUUUGUUGCCAGCGGUUAGGCCGGGAACUCAAAGGAGACUGCCAGUGAUAAACUGGAGGAAGGUGGGGAUGACGUCAAGUCAUCAUGGCCCUUACGACCAGGGCUACACACGUGCUACAAUGGCAUAUACAAAGAGAAGCGACCUCGCGAGAGCAAGCGGACCUCAUAAAGUAUGUCGUAGUCCGGAUUGGAGUCUGCAACUCGACUCCAUGAAGUCGGAAUCGCUAGUAAUCGUAGAUCAGAAUGCUACGGUGAAUACGUUCCCGGGCCUUGUACACACCGCCCGUCACACCAUGGGAGUGGGUUGCAAAAGAAGUAGGUAGCUUAACCUUCGGGAGGGCGCUUACCACUUUGUGAUUCAUGACUGGGGUGAAGUCGUAACAAGGUAACCGUAGGGGAACCUGCGGUUG